GUGGGAGUGCCGGAGUGGUCAAACGGGUCAGGCUUAGGACCUGAUAGCUUAGUGCUUACCUAGGUUCGAAUCCUAGCUCCCACA
rnacentral:tRNA from 1 species